UAGGGAAUCUUCCACAAUGGACGCAAGUCUGAUGGAGCAACGCCGCGUGAGUGAAGAAGGUUUUCGGACCGUAAAGCUCUGUUGUUGGUGAAGAAGGAUAGAGGUAGUAACUGGCCUUUAUUUGACGGUAAUCAACCAGAAAGUCACGGCUAACUACGUGCCAGCAGCCGCGGUAAUACGUAGGUGGCAAGCGUUGUCCGGAUUUAUUGGGCGUAAAGCGAGCGCAGGCGGAAGAAUAAGUCUGAUGUGAAAGCCCUCGGCUUAACCGAGGAAUUGCAUCGGAAACUGUUUUCUUGAGUGCAGAAGAGGAGAGUAGAACUCCAUGUGUAGCGGUGGAAUGCGUAGAUAUAUGGAAGAAUACCAGUGGCGAAGGCGGCUCUCUGGUCUGUAACUGACGCUGAGGCUCGAAAGCGUGGGGAGCAAAACAGGAUUA
rnacentral:rRNA from 1 species